rnacentral:rRNA from 1 species
AUUGAACGCUGGCGGCAGGCCUAACACAUGCAAGUCGGACGGUAGCACAGAGGAGCUUGCUCCUCGGGUGACGAGUGGCGGACGGGUGAGUAUGUCUGGGGAUCUGCCCGAUAGAGGAGGAUAACCACUGGAAACGGUGGCCAAUAACGCAUAACGUCGCAAGACCAAAGAGGGGGACCUGCGGGCCUCCCACUAUCGGAUGAACCCAGAUGGGAUUAGCUAGUAGGCGGGGUAAUGGCCCACCUAGGCGACGAUCCCUAGCUGGUCUGAGAGGAUGACCAGCCACACUGGAACUGAGACACGGUCCAGACUCCUACGGGAGGCAGCAGUGGGGAAUAUUGCACAAUGGGCGCAAGCCUGAUGCAGCCAUGCCGCGUGUAUGAAGAAGGCCUUCGGGUUGUAAAGUACUUUCAGCGGGGAGGAAGGCGGUGCGGUUAAUAACCGCGCCGAUUGACGUUACCCGCAGAAGAAGCACCGGCUAACUCCGUGCCAGCCGCCGCAGUAA